rnacentral:tRNA from 1 species
GGUUCCAUGGUGUAAUGGUUAGCACUCUGGACUCUGAAUCCAGCGAUCCGAGUUCAAAUGUUUUUUUACCA